rnacentral:rRNA from 1 species
AGUUUGAUCCUGGCUCAGGAUGAACGCUAGCUACAGGCUUAACACAUGCAAGUCGAGGGGCAGCAUGGUCUUAGCUUGCUAAGGCCGAUGGCGACCGGCGCACGGGUGAGUAACACGUAUCCAACCUGCCGUCUACUCUUGGACAGCCUUCUGAAAGGAAGAUUAAUACAAGAUGGCAUCAUGAGUCCGCAUGUUCACAUGAUUAAAGGUAUUCCGGUAGACGAUGGGGAUGCGUUCCAUUAGAUAGUAGGCGGGGUAACGGCCCACCUAGUCUUCGAUGGAUAGGGGUUCUGAGAGGAAGGUCCCCCACAUUGGAACUGAGACACGGUCCAAACUCCUACGGGAGGCAGCAGUGAGGAAUAUUGGUCAAUGGGCGAGAGCCUGAACCAGCCAAGUAGCGUGAAGGAUGACUGCCCUAUGGGUUGUAAACUUCUUUUAUAAAGGAAUAAAGCCGGGUAUGGAUACCCGUUUGCAUGUACUUUAUGAAUAAGGAUCGGCUAACUCCGUGCCAGCAGCCGCGGUAAUACGGAGGAUCCGAGCGUUAUCCGGAUUUAUUGGGUUUAAAGGGAGCGUAGAUGGAUAUUUAAGUCAGUUGUGAAAGUUUGCGGCUCAACCGUAAAAUUGCAGUUGAUACUGGAUAUCUUGAGUGCAGUUGAGGCAGGCGGAAUUCGUGGUGUAGCGGUGAAAUGCUUAGAUAUCACGAAGAACUCCGAUUGCGAAGGCAGCCUGCUAAGCUGCAACUGACAUUGAGGCUCGAAAGUGUGGGUAUCAAACAGGAUUAGAUACCCUGGUAGUCCACGCGGUAAACGAUGAAUACUCGCUGUUUGCGAUAUACUGCAAGCGGCCAAGCGAAAGCGUUAAGUAUUCCACCUGGGGAGUACGCCGGCAACGGUGAAACUCAAAGGAAUUGACGGGGGCCCGCACAAGCGGAGGAACAUGUGGUUUAAUUCGAUGAUACGCGAGGAACCUUACCCGGGCUUAAAUUGCAGAUGAAUUACGGUGAAAGCCGUAAGCCGCAAGGCAUCUGUGAAGGUGCUGCAUGGUUGUCGUCAGCUCGUGCCGUGAGGUGUCGGCUUAAGUGCCAUAACGAGCGCAACCCUUGUUGUCAGUUACUAACAGGUUUUGCUGAGGACUCUGACAAGACUGCCAUCGUAAGAUGUGAGGAAGGUGGA